GACGAACGCUGGCGGCGUGCUUAACACAUGCAAGUCGAACGGAAAGGCCCUGCUUUUGUGGGGUGCUCGAGUGGCGAACGGGUGAGUAACACGUGAGUAACCUGCCCUUGACUUUGGGAUAACUUCAGGAAACUGGGGCUAAUACCGGAUAGGAGCUCCUGCUGCAUGGUGGGGGUUGGAAAGUUUCGGCGGGUGGGGAUGGACUCGCGGCUUAUCAGCUUGUUGGUGGGGUAGUGGCUUACCAAGGCUUUGAUGGGUAGCCGGCCUGAGAGGGUGACCGGCCACAUUGGGACUGAGAUACGGCCCAGACUCCUACGGGAGGCAGCAGUGGGGAAUAUUGCACAAUGGGCGGAAGCCUGAUGCAGCAACGCCGCGUGCGUGAUGACGGCCUUCGGGUUGUAAACCGCUUUCGCCUGUGACGAAGCGUGAGUGACGGUAAUGGGUAAAGAAGCACCGGCUAACUACGUG
rnacentral:rRNA from 1 species